rfam:Gemmatimonas sp. SG8_28 WOR_8-12_2259, whole genome shotgun sequence.
GGACAGGUGGCCGAGCGGUUGAAGGCACACGCCUGGAGAGCGUGUGAACCUCGCAAGGGUUCCGUGGGUUCGAAUCCCACCCUGUCCG